AUUGAACGCUGGCGGAAUGCUUUACACAUGCAAGUCGAACGGCAGCACGGGGCAACCUGGCGGCGAGUGGCGAACGGGUGAGUAAUACAUCGGAACGUGCCCAAUCGUGGGGGAUAACGUAGCGAAAGUUACGCUAAUACCGCAUACGAUCUACGGAUGAAAGCGGGGGAUCGCAAGACCUCGCGCGAAUGGAGCGGCCGAUGUCAGAUUAGGUAGUUGGUGGGGUAAAGGCUCACCAAGCCGACGAUCUGUAGCUGGUCUGAGAGGACGACCAGCCACACUGGGACUGAGACACGGCCCAGACUCCUACGGGAGGCAGCAGUGGGGAAUUUUGGACAAUGGGCGCAAGCCUGAUCCAGCCAUUCCGCGUGCAGGAUGAAGGCCUUCGGGUUGUAAACUGCUUUUGUAACGGAACGAAAAGGCUCUGGUUAAUACCGUGGAGUUUAUGACGGUACCGUAAGAAUAAGCACCGGCUAACUACGUG
rnacentral:rRNA from 1 species